GGAUCCAUGGCGCAACGGUAGCGCGUCUGACUCCAGAUCAGAAGGUUGCGUGUUCGAGUCACGCUGGGUUCA
rnacentral:tRNA from 1 species